AUAGGAUAGGAUAGGAUAAAACUUUAUUUGACUACGCUGGCCACUUCAACCGGAGCUGCUUUCCAAGUGGGGCGUAGAUAAAUGUUACAAAAAUAUAUAAAAUACAAAAUCACUAAGAAUAUUAAGAACUACGAAUACAAAUACAUAUUACGAAACAAAUGGUAUACAAAAGUCAAAUAGCUAAUUCGUCAGACUAACAGAGGAAAUAUUUCUAUUGAAAGAAUUUAAAGAUUCGCUGUUUCUUACUUGUUCAGGAAUGCUAUUCCAGAUUUUAACCCCACUAUAUCGAAAACAUUUUCUGCCAUACUCGGUAUUUGGUCGUGGCAGAAAGAGAGACGAAUUUGAACCUUGUAAAUUAUAACUGUGGAUAUGGUUAGAAUUCUG